rnacentral:rRNA from 1 species
UACGUAGGGUGCAAGCGUUCAUCGGCAUUACUGGGCGUAAAGCGUGCGCAGGCGGUUUUGUAAGUCUGUCGUGAAAUCCCCGGGCUUAACCUGGGAAUGGCGAUGGAGACUGCAAGGCUAGAGUUUGGCAGAGGGGGGUAGAAUUCCACGUGUAGCAGUGAAAUGCGUAGAGAUGUGGAGGAACACCGAUGGCGAAGGCAGCCCCCUGGGUCAAGACUGACGCUCAUGCACGAAAGCGUGGGGAGCAAACAGG